CGCGUAGGCGGGAUGGCAAGUCGGUCGUGAAAUCCUUCGGCUCAACCGAAGAACGUCGGCCGAUACUGCCGUUCUUGAGGGAUGCAGAGGAGAUUGGAAUUCCCGGUGUAGCGGUGAAAUGUGUAGAGAUCGGGAGGAACACCGGUGGCGAAGGCGGGUCUCUGGGCAUCUCCUGACGCUGAGGCGCGAAAGCGUGGGAGCAAAC
rnacentral:rRNA from 1 species